ensembl:lncRNA
GGAUUCUUGGCCCAGGUGAGACCUGCCCUGAGCCCAGGACCAAUUCUCCAUGGAUGGCCGCUGCUCACCUACUAGAAGGGCAAACCUGAGAAGACUGAUAUUAUGUGAUGCUGCUGGGGAAAUGGGCAUUCACACGUACUGUGCAGUGGUGUGCAUGUGUGUGAGCGUGCACGCAGGCAUGUGUGCAUGUGAACAUGUGUGCAAUUUGCUGGUAUGAGUGAUUAACUUGGUCACCUGGAGCCAGACUAAGUUAAAAGACCAACGGUGGCUCCUGGCAGCCGUGUGAGCUUGGACAAGUCAUGUACCAUCUCCAUUCCUCAGUUUUCUCAUUUGUAAAAUAGGGGUAAUAGUACCUCUUCUCAGGGUUAUCAUGAGAAUGGUAAGUUAAUAUAUGUAAAGGCUUGGUUUAGGUCAUCUCCUAUCUGAGUCGAAACACUUUAGGAGUUCCCAUUGGGUUGAAUUGGAGCUGUUGCUGUCGGCUUAUGCCAGAGCCACAGCAAAGCCAGAUCCGAGCCACGUCUGCAAGCUAUACCACAGCUCACUGCAGUGAGGUCAGGGGUCGAACCCACAACCUCAUGGUUCCUAGUCGGAUUCGUUUCCGCUGCUCCAAGAUGGGAACUCCCAAGAGCAGGUCUCUUAGUGGCUCCUCUUUGGCCAGUGCUUUGGAGCCUCCCUAGAGGUGAGACUCAAAUGUCACCAGCUCUACCCCACUGUGCAGCUACAUCUUGUAUCUUCAUGUCUAGGACCAGAGGCCGGGAACUCUAGGUUCUCAUGCUGGUUUUGCUCCUGACCUGUGUGAGUCUGCUUUCCUUCUAGGCCUCAGUUUCUCCAUCUGUACAGCAAAGGAGUUGGCUUGAAGAGAAUUGAAUGAUUUCAUAUGCCACUUCAGGUCAACUGGUGGUCGCUAGAGAUGUGCAUUAAGAAGGUUUCUGAAACUGUGCCUAGGUUAUAUAGGAAAGAGUACUUGUGAUCGAUUAGUGAUGUCUGGAAUGGACAUGGGAUGGAGGAGCAGGGCUCUGUUUGUCUUGUAUUCACCAUCCUGAAGCUAGAUGCUUAAUUUCUAAAGGGCCCACCUUCUUGAGCCACAGUGUUACAAAUGUUCAAAAUGAGACUCAUUAAUAUUUAGAGUCAAUCUAGGCAUGUCUUACGAAGGCCUUGUUCAAUAUUUCUCAGGUCUGAGAGUGGAAAAGGGUCUUCUAAAUCUCUGUUCCAAUUAUUCAUAAACGCAGCUUGUGGUCAACUAAAGAAAGAGAGAGUUUGGCUCUACCGAAUGGAACUCAUACAGGGGCUGGAGAAGCAUGUGAGGGGGUGGUGACUAGCCUGGGAGGGGAUCGGGUGGCAAGCAUCAUGGAAUUCCAGGGAGCAGGCAGGCCUGAGAGAGUUACCUCUGAAUUUUAAGGCAGUGGAACCCAGGGAGCCAAUCUUACAAAGGUGCCCGGGGCUGGUUCUGCUCAAAGCAAGACCAGUGAUACGACUGGGACAUAGACAGCCUCUCUGGGAACAUCUUCCUGUAGACUCCAGCUCUAGGCCUUGGCUGUUUUGCCCUCCUCCUAACAGAAUUCCCUCCUGGAUGUAUAAAAUGGGCAGGAAGCAAAAGCCAAGAAGGAUUGGCUGGGUUUGGGGCUGCAGAUUUGAGAUUGAAAGCUUUGAGGGUAGAGGGAGAUUUUUUUUUCUGGAGUCUCCACAGAAGCCUGAGGUCAUUAUAGGUUGCAAGGUUUGGAGGAGGAGAGAGAAGGGUGAGUAAAGGGCUACCCUUCCUGGCAGUGGUGGUUUUGUUGGAGGGCAUCUGUCGUGCUCCCAAGGGUUUCCCAGCCUGCAGGCAAUUUUCGAAUCCAUAAAGUUCAUAAGUACAGAGCUCAUCAACAAUUAAGCUCAUGUAACCAUCUCUCUCUUUAGAAAUCCAUUGAAAGUUAGAAGAAUGACUUCCAUUGUUCUUUAAAUUUAUUGUCUGCUAACUCAAUCAUGGUUCUUUUAGUAACUUAAUUGUUUCUGAAUUGAGGAACUUCUAACUCAACAUAAGUGUCAGAAAACGAAGUUGAUAGCUUAAAAAACUCGAGUUUAUACCCAGCAAGUACCUUUUCGUAUCUUUAUGCAAUAAGCAUUUCCUAAUAAGUCCUAAACAUACGAGUAAAGGCUGCAGUCUAUAGAGUUAUGCAGCUGCUCUCACAAAGAGCUACAGUAGUCAGACAGACCUGGGUUCAAGGUUUCUUCCCUUGCCCUUUGCUGCCACUUACUGGUUGUAUGACCUUGGACAAGUGACUUAACUGACGUGUACCUCAGUUUUCUCAUCUGUAAAAUGAGUAUCUGCCGUGGAGGGCUGUUGCAAAAUUUAGUGAAUUAUUAUACAGAAACCACACAGCAGAGGGGAGUCUCCCACAUAGAAGGUACUUAACAAAUGGUAGCUAUUAUUAUUUUAUUACUAGAGUAAAUGCAAAUUCAUAGUAACUUUUAGUUGCAGUAAAGCAUGACUUCAGUAAUAAAUGUGGUAACAUCUAGAUACAACAGGGUAAAUACAGUAACACAUAGCUAUUGUAAUACAAUUAGAGUCCUGCACACAAUAACAGAAUCAGCUAUGUGGAUAUAGUAACAUAUAGAUAUUGUAAUAUAAUUGCAGUAAUACAGCCACAGUUACAUAUAUACAUAAUCAUUUUUAGCUAUACUAAGCUAGAUUUUUUAUUAUUUUAUUUAAGUAGCAGAGCUACCAUAUCAAAAUACUGCAUCAUACAACAGCCUUAUAUAUAUGUAUUACAAUAGUGUACAGAGAAGUUAGAUACAAUAAAAAUAGAUAUGUUUAAGUCACAACCAGAUAUUCCUUAUAAGGGAUAAAGAGCCAUAGUAAUAGUGGAUCCUAUUAUAUGGUUGCCAUGUCUUAUAGGAAUUGCGAUGUGUAAGUCUGAUAACGUGUAGACAGAGUACUACACAGCCGCAGACCUGAAGGAACACUGGUACAGAUGGGCAAUAUUACAUCCAGCAUUCUCUCUGCCAUUGGGAUUCAUACCCUUUUGGGGUCGGAGCUUUUCUCAGAAUCACUUGUUCUUGGGGGGAAAAAAACCCCAAAUUUCCCAAAUGCAUUUAUAAGUGGCAAAAUUCUGUGCCCAUAUAGCCCUAGCUCUAGUCUGAUAUUUAAUGUUUAGGUGUCCUGGAUUCAAAUACUUGAGAAUCAGAACAAGGAGAAAUAAUCUCUCAAGAGAUCAGACCUCGGUCCACAGGCAGGCAUAAUCCGGGCUGGUAUCUUAGUCCUCUUCAUGCUUACUGGACUCUGAUUUGAUUUGGCAUUUAGGUGACCCAGACUUCUGACCUCCUGGAGGAAACAAGACCUAUAUUUCUCCCUCUCUGAUCAUGGUUUUAAAAUUUGGCUACUCUUGUUUGCUAGUCUUACCACUGCUGAGGACAUCAGCUUUGUCUGAGCAAAAGUUUCUCUCUCUCCCUCUCUUUCUCUCUCUCUUUUUUUUCAUGGCUGCACCUGUUGCAUAUGGAGGUUCCCAGGCCAGGAGUUGAAUCAGGGCUGUAGUUUCUGGCCUAUGCCACAGUCACAGCAAUGUGGGAGAUCAGCUUUGUCUGAGCAAAAGUUUCUCUGCCCAUCUGUACCAGUGUUCCUUCAGGUCCGUGGCUGUGUAGUACUCUGUCUGCACGUUAUCAUACUUACACAUUGCAAUUCCUAUAAGACAUGGCAACCAUAUAAUACUUAACCCACUGAGUGAGGCCAGGGAUCGAACUUGCGUUCUCAUGGAUACUAGCCAGAUUCAUUAACGCUGAGCCACAACAGGAACUCCCCCAAAAGUCUCUAUUGACCAAAAGGGCAGUUGCAAAUAGCCCAUGCACAGGCUAGUAGAUUCUUUUAUAUGGGGAUGUUGGCAGCUCCUGUGGCUUGGCUAGUGUGUAGGGCAGCUUUGGAAGAGGAGUAACUACUUGGAGGCAGAUGUUGUCCACUGGAGCCAAACUGAUAGAUUUCUUCCUAGUCACAUUUUCCUGGACCAGUUUGGCAACCCAAGUCCUGAAUUCCUUAUAUCAGUUAGUUAUUGCUGCAUAGCAAAUAUCUCAAAGCUUUGUUUAAAGCAACACACAUUCCUUAUUGCUCAUGUGUUUACAGGUCAAGUGGAUAGUUCUUCUGAUCUGGGCCAGGCUUGGUUGGCUUUGGUUUUUAUCCAUCUUUGUUCACCUGGCUGGUCUAGAUUGGCCUUGGUUGGAGAACCUGGUUCAAAUGGGGGCUCUUUCAAUGUGUCCCUCACAUCCUUCUAGCAGGCUUGUUCACAGGGCAGGAUUAUGGAAAACUGGGGAGAGGGGAAGCGGGGAGGAGGAAGGGGUAGGAAGAGAGGGAGGGGAAGAGGGAGAAAUGCACUUUCCCCUCUGUUGCAUUCUAUUGGUCACAGAAAAUCACAAGGCCACCCUUAUUCAAGGAGUGAGAAAAUAGAGUCCACUUCUUGAUGGAGGGAGCUGCAAAGUCACAUGGUAAGGGUACCCCUACAGGGAGGACUAGAAGGUGGGAAAUAUUUUUUUAUAAUGACUCAACCAUAUUUGCUUUUCAGGGGUGGGGAUUGCUGGAGCCUUUGCAAACCCUCCUUUGGGUCCUUGAGCAGAGCCAAAGCUGCAUUUUGGGAGAGAUUUCCAACCCUGUGUGCCUGAUGCCUGCUCCAUGUGGGUAGUAAAGCACAUUGUCUGGUCCUUAACCCUCAUAAGCUCCUCCUUCCUUUGGCCUGUUUGCCCUAGGUUACCCCACUCUGACACAAAGGGGGGUCUCCUUUGGCUUCUACUGACUUGCACCUUGCAGGUUUUCCCCCAGUGAUCUGGGCCACAUUUCCUUAAUGAGAAUUUGAAAUCUGGACUCAGAGAACUGGAAAUCUUGGACCAGUUAGUGGUGAGUGGAAUUUCAUGGUGUAGAGCCAGGACUAGAGAAGGGAACAGAGCAGACUCUCAUCUCUCUGAGAGUGGAGAGAGCCAUGUGAACUGGAAAGGAGAUGGCAGGAGAAGCAGCCUUGUCUUUCUGCUCUCCUGCUUCUGUAAAGCUUGGGUGAACUUUGUUUUCUGUCUUUGAGUCCCUUAAAACCUCUAUUUCCUUUUUAUACCUUCUUCAUUUUCUAUUUUUUUGCAACCCAACACUGUUGGUUAUAGGGCCCCCUUUGGGAGGGAAGGCAGGCCAGACAGCUUCUAUGACAGAGUGCCCACCAGCAGUUCAAGGGUAUCCUUCCCUAGAUGCCAGAGCAUGUGCUGUCCUGGGUCUCACUGAGAGCUCCAUCUUGAAAAAACUAGCUCUCUUUAUCUAGCUUCUGCCUCAAAUCAGAGAAACAAUUGCUAUCUGAGAAAGAGAGAGGAUAAGAGGGUCACUGAUGGGAGUUCCUGUUGUGGCUCAGCAGGUUAAGAACCCGACCAAUAUUCAUGGGAAUGCAGUUUGAUCGCUGGCCUUGCUCGGUGGGUUAAGGAUCCAGCAUUGCUGUGAGCUGUGGUAUAGGCUGCAGACAUGGGUCAGAUCUGGUGUUGCUGUGGCUGUGGUGUAGGCCAGCAGCUGCAGCUCUGUUUCAACCCCUAGCCUGGGAACUUCCAUAUGCUGCGGGUGUGGCCCUCCCCCCCCAAAAGGGUCACUGACAUUUAUUUAUGAACAUAAAAUAAUCUUUACCUUUGGGAAAGAGACAUAUAACUCACUAGCCACAAAGAUCAUUUCUCUAAACUAGGUUUGAAUAUACUUCCUUUUACUUUUAUAUAGGGCCGACAUCUCAAAAUAGUUCCUACACAUUUUAAACUCUUGUUGAAAGCAUUGUCAAAAAAAUAUUCUCUCUAGAAAGUCCUGUGUGAUCAAUUGCUUUAAGAAUUCACUGAUAGGACUUCCCUGAUGGCACAGUGGGUUAAAGAUCCAGCAUUGUCACUGCUGUGGCUCAGGCUGCAGUUGUGGUACGGUUUGAGCUCUGGCCCAGGAAUUUCUGCAUGCCCUGGGCAUGGCCAACAAAAGGGAAUUCACUGAUAGACAGAAGUUAUGAAGAAUGUUUUAUGAGAGAGACCCAAUCUUUUCUCUUUGUGCCAUUGCUGCCAGGAAACUCACACCCAAGUUGGCCACUUGAUCACUUGCACAUAGUUCCGGAUAAUUUCCCAUGUUUUUCUGUCUGAAAAUGCUCUCUGGCUGUGGGAAUGGGCUUUGCAAUCUUCAAUCAAUGGAGGAUGAGAGUUGGUGGAUUGGAAACCAAUUAAACCAAUUAAAUAUAUGUUUUGCUGCCAUAACACAUUACCACAAACUUAAUGGUUUAAAACAGCACAAAUUCAUUAUUUUACCAUUCUAGAGGUCAAAAAUCUGAAAUGGGUCUUAAGGGCUAAAACCAAGGUGUUGGUAGAACUGUAUUUCUUCUUAAGACUCCGGGGGAGGAUCUGUUUUGUUGCUUUUUCUAUUGUCUAGAAUCUGAUUUCCUUGGCUCAUGGCCCCUUCCUCCAUCUUCAAAGUCAGGAAUAUUAUAUCUUCCAAUCUAUCUCUCUGACCCUCUCAUAAAAAUAUUUGUGAUUGUAUUGGGUUCUCCAAGAUAAUCCAGAAUUAUCUAUCCAUGUCAAGACCCUUAACUUACUUACAUCUGCAAAGUUCCUUUUGCCAUAUAAGGUAACAUAUUCAGGUUCUGGAGAUUAGGAUGGAUGUCAUUGAGGGGGCACUAUUCAGCCUACCACAAUAGACACAUCUCAGCUUCCUUGGCCAACUGAUGGGAAAAUUCUGAGGUCUGGUCUAUAGCCUCACGAAGGAUCCUUAGAGAUAUUGAGCCCAGUUGCUCAAAGCAGUAACCCACUCAUAGCCACAUCUUUAUUAGUAUUCUUUUCUUCUUGUGUUCCCACUUUCUCACUGGGCUCACUUCUCAAGUAAACUCCUUGCACCCAAACUUUGUGUCUGAGACUUGGUGUCCCAAACUGAAAUAGGAACCAUAUCAGCCUCCUUCUUUGCAUUCCUUUGCAUUUCUCAUUUUUUAACAGUUUUAUUACUAAAAAAAAAAAAAAAAAAAA